CAGUGACUCUCCUCCCACCACACAGACCCUCACUGACUCUGCUCUCUGAGAUCACUCGGCUCUGAACUCGACCAUGAUCACAGCUGGUCUCCUCAGUCUCUCUGCAGCUCUGCUCUGUAUUAUAGGUGGAAUCGAUGGGAGUGAUGUGGACCAGGACCCUCUGCUGUGGGCGGCAGAGGGUCAAUCUGCCACACUCAACUGCAGUCACACGAAAGGUGUAAGUUAUUAUCAGAUGUACUGGUUCAGACUGCGGCCCGGGGAGAUGAUGCAGCAGAUAGUUCUCACCACCCCAAGUCCACCACAUCAGUACUGGACCGGCUUCACUGAGGACAAAUUUCCUGCCAAGAAGGACAAAGCUGAGACCGGAUCUUUGACGGUGGAGAAGCUGGAGCCUUCAGACAGUGGAGUGUAUUACUGUGCUGUGAGUGAACACAGUGAUACAGGGGACUCAGACAGCUGCACAAAUACCACACUGUUGAAUAAAUGA